CGUGCAAUGGGAAUCAAAUAAAAAGCCAAUGAAAAAGGGUGAAUCAAUUACAAUGCAACAAAGUAAUAUAAAAUGCAUUAACAUGAAUCUAAAAAGCAACGUUCAGCAAAAUCUUGGAAAUGGAAUUACUAAAGCUUCAUUCAACGUGAAUCAAUUAAUAAAAUAAUAUGAAAUGCAUUAAAGCUUCAUUCCCCAUGAAAAGAAAUACCCUUUUUUUUUCUUCAAAUAAAAAUCUCCGUAACAACUAAAUAACUAAAUUAAACGUGUAAAAGAAAAUUCCUCUAAUGAAUCCUAAUGCAUUUUCCAAAGUGAAUGAAAUCAAACCCUAUGAAGCACCGUUCUCUUCCAUCACCUUCUGUUGGACACCGUUUUCAUUCCUACAAAGCAACCUUUAAAACAAAAGCUAAAAAAAAAAAAGAAAUCCAGCAGCUGCACCGUACAGCUCCCUACCCAUUUAAUCUAUCUAUUCAACUUCUUCAUUUAAAAAAAAAUAAAAGACAUAAAUCUCUACAUCUACUACUGCCAAACGUCCUAGCCUCCUACCUAAUCUAUUCAGCAUCCUCUUUCCAAAAAAAAACGCUGCUGCAAACAAAAAUAAAAGGAACCCAAAUAUGAAGAUUGAAUCUCCAUUAGACGUGACAGCUCAAGAUAAAAUAUAUGGCAGCAGCUCAAGAUU
rnacentral:lncRNA from 1 species